GAGUUUGAUCUUGGCUCAGGAUGAACGCUGGCGGCGUGCCUAAUACAUGCAAGUCGAGCGAACGGACGAGAAGCUUGCUUCUCUGAUGUUAGCGGCGGACGGGUGAGUAACACGUGGAUAACCUACCUAUAAGACUGGGAUAACUUCGGGAAACCAGAGCUAAUACCGGAUAAUAUUUUGAACCGCAUGGUUCAAAAGUGAAAGACGGUCUUGCUGUCACUUAUAGAUGGAUCCGCGCUGCAUUAGCUAGUUGGUAAGGUAACGGCUUACCAAGGCAACGAUGCAUAGCCGACCUGAGAGGGCGAUCGGCCACACUGGAACUGAGACACGGUCCAGACUCCUACGGGAGGCAGCAGUAGGGAAUCUUCCGCAAUGGGCGAAAGCCUGACGGAGCAACGCCGCGUGAGUGAUGAAGGUCUUCGGAUCGUAAAACUCUGUUAUUAGGGAAGAACAUAUGUGUAAGUAACUGUGCACAUCUUGACGGUACCUAAUCAGAAAGCCACGGCUAACUACG
rnacentral:rRNA from 1 species